UACGGAGGGUGCAAGCGUUAAUCGGAAUUACUGGGCGUAAAGCGCACGUAGGCGGCGAUUCAAGUCAGAGGUGAAAGCCCGGGGCUCAACCCCGGAACUGCCUUUGAAACUAGAUUGCUAGAAUCCUGGAGAGGUGAGUGGAAUUCCGAGUGUAGAGGUGAAAUUCGUAGAUAUUCGGAAGAACACCAGUGGCGAAGGCGACUCACUGGACAGGUAUUGACGCUGAGGUGCGAAAGCGUGGGGAGCAAACAGG
rnacentral:rRNA from 1 species